GUCACUCAUUCUGGGGAAGGCAGAUGCCAUGUCAUUGAAGACAUCCAAGCAGCUUCACAGAGAGCUCCACAAGGGACCAGUGACAACUUCUACCUGAAUGACAGAUACAUUUGAGAACUGCUGCUAACUUCUUAAACCCCUUCCUACUCUCAGAUAAGGUGUCAGAAAAGGAUGCGCAUAAUGAAGGAUGUGAGCAAGAAUACAGAACUGUGAACUGAAAUAUUUGGGAACAGAUAUUGGAUAAGGAAGCUGUUUGGCAUCCAAAAACAGAAGUCUCUCCCAAACAGGAUAUUGGAAAAGGAAGGACUUCCCAGAAGGUGAAGUCAAGAGUCAUGAAGAACAAUAGACUAUGAAGCUACCUCCAGGAGACAAAAUUGAAGACUGGUGAAACACAGUUCCUUACACUCAGGUUAGCAGACUUUAUAUAACAAUUUCUCCAUGGGAUUUCAGAACUUCUGUGAAUCAGUGACUGCUGGGUUCUCACCUUCUUCCCCUUCCUCAAUGAGAGUGUUUACUGUGGUUACACUAUUUUAUUAUGGAUGUGUAGGUAUGUAUUUUAUCAUGGGUGGGUACAAAUAACAAGUCUUUUAGGUCAUAGGACUUUGGCUCAAUAGAGCUACAUUUGGGCAUGAUACAAACUCAAGAUCCUGGAUUUCAAGCUAGAGGUUUUGAUUAGAUCAGACCUUGGAGUAUCUUUAGGAUGGCGUGAUUACAUUUUUUUUACAGCAAGGAAGUGAACAUUUGUGAACUUGUUCAGAAGCAGGCUGUGGUAGAUUACAUUAUGUCACAAAUAUUUAUUCCCUCCAUACCCUUGCCAUGCUUCUCUGUGAGCACAGUCUAUUUUCCUUUCUACUGACUUUGACCUGGGUCAUAUUACUUCCUUUGACAGAUAGAUUGUCUUAGAAGUUUUAAAUGUGUUUGAAAAUGUGCUUAUACAUUGUGCAUGACUUGGUACCCAAUCUUGAUGUUUCCCUCCAAAAUGAGAAUAGCAUGUCCAAGGUACUAGCUUACUCCUUCAGCCUGGGCUAUGGAAUGAAAACAUAAUUGUCAUGGAGCCAAGGUCUAGCUCAACCUAAGUCAGCUAAACCCAGAAAAGCCCUCACCCUCAUGAACUUGGGCAAUCAAUACAAAUUUGUUGUUAUAACCCACAGAGAUAUUGGGAUUGUUUGUUACAGCAAAAGCUGGCUAACACAAGUUUUGAAUGAAUUUGUUGUUGAAAAUA